UUAAGAAUUUUUUUGAUCAAACUUCAGGAUUCAGUUACUGUGUUUACCUCAGACUUACCACUUCGUUGGGAAGCUGCUGGAAAACAUGGAACAGGAUGCUUGGACUUCUCUUCCCACAUACAUCAAUAAAAUAAAUCAGGGAUUCAUUACUCAGCAUGGGCAAGGGCAGCCUCCAGGGAGCAUCUGAGUUGCAGCUGGUGGGAUACUGGAGCCGAGGCCUCUUUGUCAGGCUGGCUGUGGUGGGGAGGGUUCCUGGCACCGUGAUUUGGUGGACAAACAGAAAUAAAAAUCACAUUGCCAGGGAUUUCCACCCCUGCACUGCUCUCCAGGUGCUCGAGGGCAACUCACUCCACCUGCACGCGGACACACCUUCUCCCAUGACUCAUCCUCUGAUACCUCAUAGCUGUGGACAGAAGAACAGGGCUUUGUCAGUGAAAGGUGUCAAUGGGUUCACACUGCUGCGAAUACAACCGGGCCUUAAAGAGAUAUUGCUGACAUUAGCUGUGCGCCGCUGGAUGUCCGAGAUGCCUUUGAUGCUGUGCAAGUGUUCUUUGCACGUUUUUUGCACGAGUGCUGCUCUAAAUUAAAGAGCGUUCUGGCCUUGUUUGCGCAACCUCUCAGGCAUCCAGUUAAUUUCAGUGCCGCUCCUCGGUAUGUUUUUCGAACUCAACAAACACACAAACAGUGAGUCACGUCUUUGGAAAUAUUAUGUAUGAAUAGAUAAUGACUUACUGGAAUAGCAAGUUGAGGGAAAGUAUAGCUGGCCACAAAGCUCUUCUGGCUCGCAACGAGCUUACAUUGUGCUCAGUGGGUUGUUAUUUGCAUGCUAACUAUGAAAACCACACGUUAUGAUUCAUAAACUGUCUAUGUCACUCUAGAAGCCAUUCAUUCAUAUCAGUUGCAUGCUACAUGGGGUGAAAUAGCCUGAUGUGGGACAUUUUUGCUUUCGGGAUUCCUAUUUGAGGAUUUUUUCAGCCUAGGCUAAGAUUGGACAUUUAAGAGCUCGGCGAAUUUUGAAUACAGGCCAACAUAGCUUGAGCUAACCCAUGGUUUUAUUGACUUUCAUGACUUUUAUUUUGUGUAAGCCCUAGGGUGCAUCCGCAUUGUGCAUUAACUAGUACUUCUAGUUUGUUUUUGUUUUAGGAUACAAGAGCGAGUAUCAUCAUAACAUUUUCCCAUGUCUUAUACACGCUAAAGAGCAAGCCAGACCCCACCGGUCAUGAUUAUUACCACCAACUGCAGUGUCUACCAUGGGUGGUAAUGUCUUUUUAAAUGUAUGCCCUGUAUAUUUUGGUUUAAAAAAGGAAUGUUAAAUGCCCUGGCACACCUAGCAACCACUAUAAGGCCUCACUUCAACUACAGUAAUUCAUGUGACUUGUCAUGAGCAUGUUGACUAGUUUACAACGUAACAAGAUAACACUUAUAACAUACAGGUGUGAGCAUUUGUAAAGUGUUCUCUGUAUUAACACUUCAUUAGCAGCUUACAUUUUGCUAUCCUAUGAAUAUUUCUUCAGUAAAAUACAGAAUUGGGAUGCACCCCUACACUGAACCACGCUUAAAUGUCCCACAUAAAGAGAGUUCAGUCUACAGUCUGCUAGGCAGUCCACUAUCUGUCUCCACCUCAUACGCUUUGUUGUCGCUCCAGCCCAGACUGUCACUUGCUAAAGGCUCAGAGCUUAGCUAAUUGGUGAGCACUGGUCCCUUCAAUGUUCUGUUCACAGUGGCUAAGUUCAGCGUCUGCAGUGAAAGAAUUGACUGGAUGAUGAAGAAAAGCUCUUUACCGGAUAAUCACAGCACUACUCCCGUGAAGCCUGAGGGUGGAACACUGAUAGAGAGUUUGUGGUGUGAGGAGGUGGAGAAGUGUGCAGAAGGUUUUUUUUUUUUAUAAAGAAGGACAGAAUACUUUGGAAAUGUCAAACUAGUUAUGGCACACUGAUCUCCUAUUGACCUUCCCUAAAGAGCAGUUUUGGCUUGAAAUAAUAGUACAAGUUUAUACAGGCCUCUCACUGUGCCCACUGACCUGGAGUGGCCAAUAGGUCAAACCACCAUUAACAGAAACUGGCAAAAACCAAUUGGGAAGCUAAUGUUUCACAUUUUAGUUUUUUUCUUUACCUUUGUGUGUUUGCUCCAAUUCAACUGGUUUAAUUUGGUCUAGAUUUAUAAAUAUAUAAAUAAAUAAAUAAAUAGAAGGAACUUCUAUUUCUAUAAAAAGGGAAUACAUUCUUACAAAUUAUAAUAAAUAACAGAAAUUAGCAUUAUGCUAGCUUGCUACUUCUUUAGCUUUUUUUCAGUCUCAGCCACAUUCGCCUUUGGCCCUUUUUCAGCUACUUAUCCACUUGUGGCAGAUUUAAACCUUUCCUUAGCCAGUCCAUGUAGACCUUUAAGAUGUAUGAUCUGAUUGGCUGUCCUGUAAUGCACCUUCUUUAAAAAUAACUCCCUAACAAUGUGGUAAUGGGUGGAAUUAAACUGUGGUAGGCUGAAUGGGAGGGGAUUGUGACAGAGGGCAUAUCAGUCCUGGUUUUAUAGGGCCCAGGCCUUCGGUGCCUGCUAAGCUGGUAUCAGUGUAUCCAAAGAGAGCUGGCUCAGCUCAGCAGGAACAGGAGUCCAGGCUAUAACAUCACAUCAACCACCCAGCCUGACACCUGAGGCGUCCUAUUGAAGGACUUCAUGCAGGCAGCUCCAUAUUUUUGGGAAAAGUAUUUAUGUGAAUUUUUCUCUAUUAUUUAAACACAGUUGUGUAGAUAAUUCAUUGCACAAUUACUUAGAGAUAUGUUUCUCUGUUCUUGUUUUCUUUUAGUGAUUUUACUUGUGUUUAAAGAAAUGCUCUGACAGGAAAUUAAGUGAAUAAGAUUUUUCAUUUAUUGCAGUUGAUCAGCCAAGGCAUGUUUCAAAUUUGGGGUCAGUGAUUAAGUUAAUUUGAUUGGUAGCUCAUUUAUUUCAUGAUUUGCUGAUCUUCUGUAAAUCUCUUUUGCAAAUGUUGUAAUUCUGGUAGGAUUCAUACGUUUAAAAAACAUUUUAUACAUUUGUAAUAAAAAUUUACCUUUGUUUUUCUA